ACGACGUUAAACCCAAUUUCACCUCACCUCACCUCACCUCAGCUCUGAAAUAGUGUCAUGGGAGAUAACUCUUUGCAAUUUUCUUUUCCAGAUCUUGGUGGCAUUAAAUGUCUUUUGGAGAAACACUCAAUUGAAAAAAACACUUAUUUUUCGCUUUGCCUCGCGCUUGAAAAAGUUGUAAACUCUUUUGAUGAUUU